UUGCACAGUGAACACCCAGGUGUGCUUUAUAGUAGUACGCUUGGUUUUAAUUUUGUGCUACAGCAAUGGUUGUUCUUUACCUCUGCAUUGAAAGAACUAUCCUUCUAAGAGUAUUCAGAAAGUCAGCACAUUA